UACGUAGGUGGCAAGCGUUGUCCGGAUUUACUGGGCGUAAAGAGCGCGCAGGCGGUCGUCCAAGUCGCGUGUGAAAGCCCCCGGCUCAACUGGGGAGGGUCACGCGAUACUGGUCGACUCGAAGGCAGGAGAGGGUAGUGGAAUUCCCGGUGUAGUGGUGAAAUGCGUAGAGAUCCGGAGGAACACCGAAGGCGAAGGCAGUGUCCUGGCUGGUGACUGACGCUGAGGUGCGAAAGCUAGGGGAGCGAACGGG
rnacentral:rRNA from 1 species